rnacentral:rRNA from 1 species
UACGUAGGUGGCAAGCGUUAUCCGGAUUUAUUGGGCGUAAAGCGAGCGCAGGCGGUUGCUUAGGUCUGAUGUGAAAGCCCCCGGCUUAACCGAGGAAUUGCAUCGGAAACUGUGUUUCUUGAGUGCAGAAGAGGAGAGUGGAACUCCAUGUGUAGCGGUGGAAUGCGUAGAUAUAUGGAAGAACACCAGUGGCGAAGGCGGCUUACUGGACGAUGACUGACGCUGAGGCUCGAAAGCGUGGGGAGCAAACAGG